GGAUUUAGGUGUCCACAUCUAAACACACGGUGAUACACAGAACACAGGCAGAGAUCUGCUUUGUGAUUGUGGUUCCCCAGGAAAGCUUCUUGUAUACUCAUAAACCCGCACGACGAUGAGAGGGAGCGCUGAGGGGAUCGGCUGGCCCUAUGCUCCAUAUUCACAGAAGCAGGAUGAGGCUGGGAAGCCUGCUGAGAAAAUGGUGUCGUAAUCAGGAGCCGGCAGUUCUGCCUGAUCAGAGUGUGGCGAGGGGUACAAGGGAGGUGGGUGGUGGCGCUUGGACCUCAUCUCCCAGGAAGCUCUCUGCGCUCCGGAAACCUGAGCUUCAGCUUGUUAAGACAAUGAAGGGAACACGUGAGGCUCUGGCACAUGGUGGCUAGGGUUACCUGUUCGCGGUGAACUUUUGGCCCUUGGAGCAAAACCUCCCCACCCUUAUGACUCCUGCACUGCUCCACCUGUAUCCCUGCUCUCUGUCCUCCCUUCGAUCGACAAAAGACUGCCUGGGCCCCUGCCAUCAGAUCUCCAUCCAUCCACAGGUUUGGGCCUGAAAGACGUGCCAGACCUGCUGCCAAAGCAUUGGCCUCCACCUCACCCUGCAGACAUUGCUGAAAACUCAUGCAAGCAUACACACACAAACACGCACGCACACACACAGUGUUCAAAAUAUCUCUAUGUUUUCAAGCACACUACCUCUUUUUUUACAUACAUCCACCAUGCACAUGUACCAAUGACAUUUUCCUCUGCCUACACACACAUUCUUGCCAUCUCUACUCUGUGUCUAUCUCUGUCUGUGAUGAUGGAGUCGACACACGCGUGUCAUGGCUCAUGUCACACGUAGACAAGAUCGAGCCGCGUUCACACGGUCUCCCUCGACACAAACGUAAACACACACUCGUUCGGUUUUUCAGUUGUCUCUCAGGCAUUUCCUAUUUUUAAAACAGUACGCAACACACCUACACACAUUCUCCCAUGCUUGGGCACACCCACAGCCGCCCAUGUCAUGCUGCGAGACAGUCCUUGUCUCGGGGAACACCCUCGCACACUUGUAACGCAGGAAAACAUUUGUCAGGUGAAGUAAAUCUAGACACCUGACACUAGUGGUCUCUCUUUGCAUUUGCUUGCACCACCGCCUCCAUACUUAAUGGCACAGCACCUACUGAUUAUUGUAUGCUUUGAGCUAGUCUGGUAAUUGCGCGGUACAUACCUGUCCAGGGUGUAAGCCCAUCCGCAGAACAUAGGGCCUCUCUGUUAAAUGGCUCACUGUAUUGUCGUAACUGAGAGAUGGAGCCUCCUCUCUGUCAUUCACUGUCAGUCAUUGUCUGUGAUGCAUGUGUGCCGCAGUUUAAAAGUCUAUUCAUAGAAAGGAGUGCACGUUCAUAUUUUCAAUCAGCUGGAGAAAUUAAAUCUCAAAUAACCUGUAUUCCACGAGCUCAGAAGCUCAAGAUAACACAGAGAACGAGAAUCACCCCUGCAAAUGUGAAGUCAUGAUUUUCAACAGUCAUUUGGCAUUUUCUUAAACCUGAGGUUAUUUUCAUGACAUCUGAAUGAGUCAGACUCCGUGCAUGUGUUUGUGUGAUGGUGCAAAUGCAAAUAUCACAUUAUUUUGUCUGGUUCAUCUUAUCAAUAUCCUUCUUAUCUAUGAAUCGGAGACAUUGAGACAUAGAUGCUGAAUCGUUCUCUGUGUAUCACAGCGUCAGGCUUUUGACUUUCAUGUCACAAUUAUGAAACUAUUCUUUUUGACAGUCUUUUAUGGCCUGGUAAGGCGGUAUAGGAAAAGGACAAUCAGAUGAAAAAGAGAUACAAAGGGUCGAAGUAAACAAAGCCUCACGGAGAGAUCAAACUAUCAUAUUUCAGAGUAUUUAGCAGCUUGUUGCAGGGUGAAGCAAACUGGAAUGAGGAGUGGCUGCAGAAGUUUGCCACACAAGCUCUGUGUGAGAACAUACUGACAGUACUGACUAACUCAAACAUAGUACAUACAGUAGCCUACAUUUAGAGGUGCACUGAGGCCAAAUGCAGAAAAUAAUUCAAUUGAACAUGUUUUAUGUUGCACUGCAUUGUUGUUGCUUAGUAAUUAACGAUUUUCUGUGCAAUCUUUGAUGUUAUUAUUUUAAUGUCAGUGCCCUUUGUGUACGCAGGCCACAUGGGCCUAAAGGAGCAUCACAUCAACAUGUAUGUACCCUCAUAUCUACCCUUUUUUAUUUUGAUCUGCCUAAAACAACCAUAAACAAUAUAA